GUUGUUAUUGUAUAGUGGUUAGUACUCUGCCCUGUGGCCUCAGUGACCCCUGGUCCGAAUCCGGGCCGCAGCC
rnacentral:tRNA from 1 species